CUGUUUUAUGGGUGUGAAUGGGUUUAGCCUACCUCUUGAACUUUGGCCUCACUAAAGGCAGUUUUUAUCUCUGCAUCCUCUCGGCCUCCACCGGAUUGAUCAGGAGUUACAAGUUGAUGCCAUUCAUCAAAGGAGGGAGAUAAAAAUCCUUUGCCAACAAGGAAUUUAAAUGCCCGUGCUAGCUGCAUCCAAAUUCUGCUUGAAUUUAUUGCUACCUUUUGAUGAUUUGGCUUUUAAGAUGAUUGAUUCAGAAGGCUAUUGAUUUCCCCAUAUUAUGAAGGCAGAUUUUUUUUUUCACCCAACUGACAUUGUUUAAAGAUGGGAUAGCAAAAGAUAUAAAUGUAUGAGUUUUCUUUGUGUUUUGACUCAAAGGAAGCUCUGGGUGGAGCUAAAGAAACAGCUGGCUUCUGAAAAUAACACGUAAUAGGAAGUGUGCUGAGGAGAGAUAGGGGAGUAUCGUGAAUUUGGUUCAGCUCAGUAAACAUUUCUUGAGCCCCACUUUUUUCCAUACACACGCAAGGAGAUAGCAAGACGGUCCGUGCACAGUUCUAUCCCUUACGGAGCUCUCGAUUGGUUUUUGUUUGGUUUUGUGUUUUUAAACCUCUCAGAAUGCAGACUGCAAAGGAGUGAGAAGUUAAUUAUGUAUAGGCCACAGGGACAAAGUAACAUCUAUGAAGGGAAAAGAGUUUGAAGUCAUACUGACCAUAGAUUGAGAACAAAAUUAUUGUUCAUGACUCUCAGGUCCCAUGUCAGGAAAUGACUUUCAGAGUGGAUUCAGAAAGGGUACUGGUAGAACUGGAGAAAUGGCCCGGCGCUUGAGAGCACGUACUGGUUUUCCAAAGGACCCAAGUUCAGCUCUCAGCACCAUUGUUGGAUAGCUCACAACUGCCUGAAACUCCGCACCAGGAGAUUGGAUAUCCUUUUCUGGUCUCCACAGGCCCUUGGUCUCACGUGGACAUAUUCACACUAUACAAUCUUUUAAGGGGAGUGGGAGGGUAAUUGAUAGAGGCGAUGGCUCUGGACAGAAUGCUUGCCAUGUAAGUCUGAGGAACUAAGAUCUCAUUCCCUGAGCCCACAUAAAAUCCAAGUGAGAGUCUAGUGCAUCUGCAAUUACAGCAGGACAGGAGAAUCUGGAAACUCAGGGGACAGUCAGCUUGGUGUACCCAGUGAACAACGAAAGAGAGACCCUGUCACAAACAAGGUGACAUGUGAGGACCAGUGCCUGAGGUUGCUCUCUGACCUCCACACAUGUACCAAGGCACUCAUGCAUGUAGUCACACAAACGCCCACCACAUAUGCACAGAGGUGAUGCUGUGCAGAACAUGCGGGAUUUCUGAGGAGUCAACUUUUAGCCCUAGUCACAUGGACACAAGAUGGUCAUCUGUUUUCUUGGUUGUCUACUCUCUUGAUGGUGUGACAUCCAGGUGUCAGCAGGCAUUCCUGACCCUUGUAAACCUGAAGAAAAGUGACUGAUUGGAGGUGAUGUGACAGAUAGCUGUCUUCCUGACAGUUCCCCUUACCCGUCACAGACAAGGCUGCCCUACUGGUUAGUUCUUUGGGGAGUGUGGUUAAACAGUGAAAAACACACUUGUUAGUCCAUGCCACAUGCUGUGAUGUCCAAGCUCAUCUCUGCACUUCCUGGCUGCCAUGAGGUAGACAUCUCUGCUGCACUGUGUUCCCUCCACCAUGAUACUCUGCCCCAUCACAGGCCACAAUGUUCACGCUAAGCAAGUAAUAGAAAGAUGUCAGAAAGUGACUCAAAAGAAGUCUUUCCUUAGGUUGUUUGAUGCACUAUCACCACAACUACCACAGCUGAGCAACAUGUAGAACACGUGUGUGGUAUCAGAUGAGAUUUGUUACUAUAAGUACACAAGAUGGUGUGCUCUGUCAGGAGAAUCUGCAGUUUCUUGUCUCAGGAUGGGUUGUCCCUUUCUGAUGUCAAGCAGAGUGUUAGGAGAUCCAUCUGCCUCUGCAUAUGUGACCAUAGUCUUUGUCCACUUAAGACCAUAUUGUUGAUUCGGUCUCGCUCUCAUGGCAUUCCCACCUGAGAAGUUGCAGUGCCUCCGGUUGAACAGACUGUUCCUGGGAAAUCAUGAUGGGCUCAGAGACCCCUAAGCCCUCUCUUACAGAGUGAACUUAGGAAGUUUCAGUCAUAAAAACUCUCUCCUCCAUGAUAGGACUGUUCAGACAUGUACCUUCCCUGUUCAUGUGAACUGCGGACCUUCUGCAGUGUAGCUUGUCAUGAGGAUAGGCACUUGUCUCUCUUCCUGUCUAUAAACUGUUCAUAAAUA